rnacentral:misc_RNA from 1 species
GUGAGAACGUAGCGAAAUGCGAUACUUGGUGUGAAUUGCAGAAUCCCGUGAACCAUCGAGUCUUUGAACGCAAGUUGCGCCCGAAGCCAUUAGGCCGAGGGCACGCCUGCCUGGGCGUCACACGUCGUUGCCCCCCCAUCUACUCCUUCGGGAUUGCGGGGGGCGGAUGAUGGCCUCCCGUGCGCCUCGCCGCGCGGUUGGCAUAAAUGCCAAGUCCUCGGCGACGCACGCCACGACAAUCGGUGGUUGCGAAACCUCGGUUGCCCGUCGUGUGCGGUCGUCGCGCAUCGAGGGCUCGAAAAAAUUGCCGGGUUCCGGCUCGGCUUUCAACGCGACCCCAGGUCAGGCGGGGUUACCCGCUGAAUUUAAGCAUAUCAAUAAGCGGAGGA